rnacentral:tRNA from 2 species
GCGCGAGUGGCGGAAUUGGUAGACGCCCCAGAUUUAGGUUCUGGUGCCUUCGGGCGUGAGGGUUCGAGUCCCUUCUCGCGCA